GAAGAUUAUAAAUGGUAUAAAAUAACUGACUCUACGAAUACGCAAUCAUCACCAUCUGAAAUAAAAAUAACUACAGGUAUAUGAGCAUAAAGAAUUACGUCAAAAAAUAAUUGCUCUCUCCAAACUUUUUUCAUCUUAGAAGAGAUCUUGUCAAAUGUUCGCGCGCUGUUGCCAAUGCUUGAGUUAUUGUUUGUUCAGACAAGGGUGCUCCAUCAUCCAUGUUAUGACUCGAAACUUUUCCAGCAAUAGUAUUACCAUCAGUUUCAAGUACCAUCCCGCCAUCCACAAUCUCAUCAAGGCAUAGAAGAAUGAGAUCUAAAUUCUCAAGUGCCUCUCUCUGGUCAACAUUAUUCCUUAGGAGAAGGGUAACUGCAUCAUAGAAACCCUGAAGAACAGUGGCUAGAACUAGUUCAUUUUCAUCAUCACCCCCAGUGACAAAGAAAUGGAGGUCUUGCACAAACUUAUAGACAAUAAUGUUGUUCUCGAACAUUGUUAUUUCAGCUUCAGUCCGAGCAUUUGUCUUUUGAGUCUUGGUGAAAAUAGAUUUUUCGAACGCAACCUUAGCGUUGUUUGUCGGCCAGUCAUCAGAGUAGUAUUUAACAGCUACACGCUUUCCUUCCGAAUCCAAAAGAAGUAUGUUCUUCACCACAGGACAAGAAUCAUAAUUUAGAAGGAAACCCGCCAUUGAUGAAAUAGCGAUUCACCGCCGGAAUUUUUCUUUUUGUUGAUUUGCAGUGAA
rnacentral:misc_RNA from 1 species